rnacentral:rRNA from 1 species
AGUGAACGCUGGCGGUAGGCCUAACACAUGCAAGUCGAACGGCAGCACAGUAAGAGCUUGCUCUUACGGGUGGGGAGUGGCGGACGGGUGAGGAAUACAUCGGAAUCUACUUUUUCGUGGGGGAUAACGUAGGGAAACUUACGCUAAUACCGCAUACGACCUACGGGUGAAAGCAGGGGAUCUUCGGACCUUGCGCGAUUGAAUGAGCCGAUGUCGGAUUAGCUAGUUGGCGGGGUAAAGGCCCACCAAGGCGACGAUCCGUAGCUGGUCUGAGAGGAUGAUCAGCCACACUGGAACUGAGACACGGUCCAGACUCCUACGGGAGGCAGCAGUGGGGAAUAUUGGACAAUGGGCGCAAGCCUGAUCCAGCCAUACCGCGUGGGUGAAGAAGGCCUUCGGGUUGUAAAGCCCUUUUGUUGGGAAAGAAAAGCAGCAGGUUAAUACCCCGCUGUUCUGACGGUACCCAAAGAAUAAGCACCGGCUAACUUCGUG